GACGAACGCUGGCGGCGUGCUUAACACAUGCCAGUCGAACGGACAGGCCCUGCUUUUGCGGGGUGCUCGUGUGGCGAACGGGUGAGUAACACGUGAGUAACCUGCCCUUGACUUUGGGAUAACUUCAGGAAACUGGGGCUAAUACCGGAUAGGAGCUCCUGCUGCAUGGUGGGGGUUGGAAAGUUUCGGCGGUUGUGGAUAGACUCGCGGCUUAUCAGCUUGUUGGUGUGGUAGUGGCUUACCAAGGCUUUGACGGGUAGCCGGCCUGAGAGGGUGACCGGCCACAUUGGGACUGAGAUACGGCCCAGACGCCUACGGGACGCAGCAGUGGGGAAUAUUACACAAUGGGCGGAAGCCUGAUGCAGCAACGCCGCGUGCGGGAUGACGGCCUUCGGGUUGUAAACCGCUUUCGCAUGUGACGAAGCGUGAGUGACGGUAAUGGGUAAAGAAGCACCGGCUAACUACGUG
rnacentral:rRNA from 1 species